rnacentral:rRNA from 1 species
AUAACUACUGGAAACGGUGGCUAAUACCGCAUAACGUCGCAAGACCAAAGAGGGGGACCUUCGGGCCUCUUGCCAUCAGAUGUGCCCAGAUGGGAUUAGCUAGUUGGUGAGGUAACGGCUCACCAAGGCGACGAUCCCUAGCUGGUCUGAGAGGAUGACCAGCCACACUGGAACUGAGACACGGUCCAGACUCCUACGGGAGGCAGCAGUGGGGAAUAUUGCACAAUGGGCGCAAGCCUGAUGCAGCCAUGC